rnacentral:lncRNA from 10 species
GCUUCCCCCUUCACUCAGCUCUCAUUCUUCUCCUUCCUGCCACCAUGUGAAGAGGGAUGUGUUUGCUUUCACUUCUACCAUGACUGGCUCAAUGACUUUGACAGCAGUGAUAACAGAGUGCCGGAAGGUAGAUUCAGAUGACUUUCUGCUUGGCCCUCCUGUUUAUGUCCUUGGUUUUUAUAAAAUGUCAUUGGGUCAAGGUUUUGGCCAGAGAAUAGCAAGGAUGACUUAUCUCUGCUCCACUAUGUCUGGAACCUCUUGGAAUCAUUUGGAGUCUUCUUCACUCUCUUGCCUGGCACCUGGACUGGGAAAACUUGGAACCCACUGGGACUGUUGACCAAAGCACAAACAUGUGGCCUCUUCAUGUGGCUUGGGCUUUCCACAGCAUGGAGGCUGAUUUCUGAGGAGAGGCCCAAAAAUAAUAUACACAAACUACAUAUAAUUUUGACUCCUCAACCAAGAUGAAUCCAGUGCUCUAUCCUGGUUAAAUUAUCUCAGGCGUUCCCAGGAGAGAAGCAGAUGGAAUUUUGAGAGAGAAAAGGAGGAGGUAAAAUGAAGACAGGCAGAGAUGGGAGUGGUGCAGCCAAGAGCCAAGCAACACCUGGCGCCACCAGCAGCUGGAAGAGGAAAAGAAGAGAUUUAUCUCCAGAGUCUUAGGAGGAAGCACAGCAGUGCUUUAAUUUUGGACUUCUGGCUUCCACAAUAAGAAGAGAAUAAAUCGAUGUUGCCUUAGUCCAUCCAGUUUAUGGUAAUUUGUUACAGCACUCUAGGAAACUAAUACAACAAACAAGGCCUGACUGAACAGAGUGGAAAGUUAGCAGAGAGGAAGGAGAGGUGAGACCCUUCUCUUGGCCUAGUGAGAUCUGUUCCCUUAUUGUAGAAGAAAUGUGGGACUCUCUUCUUUUGUGACAUAUGACAAAGUUUUGGCAGGUGGGAAGGAGUGGAGGGCUUUUCAACCUUUUGGGCUAGAUUUCAUCAGUGAUUCCAUGGCAAAGGCUAAAUGUGUUUCAGCACUAUGUUUAAAGUCUGCUGGUUUUACACAUUCAAAUUCUACCCCAACUCAUAUUUCCUGCCUGCUUCUAUCUGUAUUCUCCAGACACAGCAUCAUCUCUCACAUUCUGAAAUAAAAGUGA